AGCUCAGAGAGGGGACAGUCCCCAUCCUCAUCACUGACCCUGGGAUGAGCCACAUGGGGACAGCUGUUUUCAGGAUUCCAAAAAGCAUGAAGAACAGAGUCUCGGUCAAAAUCCAUUUAAACUGCAUUUAAAAUACCAGCUGGCUAUGUGUUCACCUCCUCAACAGAGGAAGAUCAGAAAGAAAAAAACGUUUCAGCUGCCUCUGUGUCACUUUUCUGGAUGAAAUUUUCCUACGUGAAUGUAAGGAUGGGCCAAUCCUAACGAGCACAGUGCAAAGCCAUAGCUCCGUCUGACCUCAGCUCCGACUGUAUUGUUUUAAAGUGAGCAGCUCAGAAAUCGAAGAAGCUAAAUGGACUCCUGAAUUUCAGUCUCUCACAACACUUCGAGGGUACCUAUUUGGAGUCCCCAAGACUGGCCUGAUCUUGUCUGACAUAAACACGAAGCAAGGUUAAAACUGACUUCAAAGGUAACCGAUAUUCGGAUCAAUUCCAAGAAGAUGAGAAUUUAAUCCAGUUCAACCACCGCUGGAAACUGUGGAUAAUAUGAAAGUAAUAGUCAACACAAACUCAGUCUUCAAGAAAGAGAACACGAAAAGAUGAUAAGAGGUCAAAAGUCUUCAUGGCAAAGUUCUUUUAUUCUUCCAGGAUUCUGUUGCAGUUUACUUCCUAAAUUGUGUUUGCUUCCAGUUAACAGGAGAACUUUGGAAUUAAUAAAAGAUUAUAAUCAGUAAUGUAA